CAGUCGCCGCGGUAAUACGUAGGUGGCAAGCGUUGUCCGGAAUUAUUGGGCGUAAAGGGCUCGCAGGCGGUUUCUUAAGUCUGAUGUGAAAGCCCCCGGCUCAACCGGGGAGGGUCAUUGGAAACUGGGAAACUUGGGUGCAGAGGAGGAGAGUGGAAUUCCACGUGUAGCGGUGAAAUGCGUAGAGAUGUGGAGGAACACCAGUGGCGAAGGCGACUCUCUGGUCUGUAACUGACGCUGAGGAGCGAAAGCGUGGGGAGCGAACAGGAUUAGAGACCCCUGUAGUCCCUGUCUCUUAUAC
rnacentral:rRNA from 1 species